AGAUUGAACGCUGGCGGCAUGCUUUACACAUGCAAGUCGAACGGUAACAGGCCGCAAGGUGCUGACGAGUGGCGAACGGGUGAGUAAUGUAUCGGAACGUGCCCAGUCGUGGGGGAUAACGCAGCGAAAGCUGCGCUAAUACCGCAUACGAUCUAUGGAUGAAAGCGGGGGACCGUAAGGCCUCGCGCGAUUGGAGCGGCCGAUAUCAGAUUAGGUAGUUGUGGGGUAAAGGCUCACCAAGCCAACGAUCUGUAGCUGGUCUGAGAGGACGACCAGCCACACUGGGACUGAGACACGGCCCAGACUCCUACGGGAGGCAGCAGUGGGGGAUUUGGACAAUGGGGGAAACCUGAUCCAGCCAUCCCGCGUGUGCGAUGAAGGCCUCGGUUGUAAAGCACUUU
rnacentral:rRNA from 1 species